rnacentral:rRNA from 1 species
CGUGUAGGCGGACGUUCAAGUUAGGGGUGAAAGGCCUGGGCUCAACCUGGGAACUGCCUUUAAAACUGGACGUCUAGAGUACGGGAGAGGGUAGCGGAAUACCCAGUGUAGAGGUGAAAUUCGUAGAUAUUGGGUAGAACACCGGUGGCGAAGGCGGCUGCCUGGCCCGUAACUGACGCUGAUGCGCGAAAGCGUGGGGAGCAAACA